CUAAGAAUCUUCCGCAAUGGGCGCAAGCCUGACGGAGCGACGCCGCGUGAACGAUGAAGGCCGUGAGGUUGUAAAGUUCUUUUCGGGAGGAGGAAUAAGGGUGGCAGGCAAUGGCCGCCCGAUGACGUGAAUCCCGGAAUAAGCCCCGGCUAACUACGUGCCAGCAGCCGCGGUAACACGUAGGGGGCGAGCGUUGUUCGGAAUUAUUGGGCGUAAAGGGCGUGCAGGCGGCCCUGCAAGUCUGGCGUGAAAUGCCCCGGCUCAACCGGGGAGACGCGCUGGAAACUGUGGGGCUUGAGUACAGGAGGGGAUGCCGGAAUUCCAGGUGUAGGGGUGAAAUCUGUAGAUAUCUGGAGGAACACCAAUGGCGAAGGCAGGCAUCUGGCCAUGUACUGACGCUGAGACGCGAAGGUGCGGGGAGCAAACAGGUUUAGAUACCCUGGUAGUCCGCACAGUAAACGAUGUGCACUAGGUGGCGGGGGGUCGACCCUCGGUACCGCAGCUAACGCAUUAAGUGCACCGCCUGGGGAGUAUGCUCGCAAGGGUGAAACUUAAAGGAAUUGACGGAGUGUCGAUAG
rnacentral:rRNA from 1 species